GAUUAAAAAUUCCAUUCAUUUGUGUUAAUAAAAAUUGGCGUUGCUGAUGAAAUAACCAAAUAUGUCACGUGUACUUCGUGUUGACGUGCAAAGAUCAUUUUUUAAUAGUAUAUUUCGAUGAAAAUUUUAACA
rnacentral:pre_miRNA from 1 species